UUCUCCCACGCUUCCCCGAGGCACCCUGUAUGGACACGAGGUUGUCAUUUUCGAGAAUGCUCGCUUGGGAAAUUCUCUCAUUCUCGCGACGUGCAAUUAGGCCAGGCAACUGUGCAUAGCUCGAAGGACCCAGGGAAUCUUUCCCAGCAUCUGGGAGGAACGUCGAGACGGUUCUUCUCGACGUUCCCGGUGCAAAAUGUGCAAGGUAGAGCUAUCAGGUCUACGGGGGAUUGCUUUUUAAACCGGCACUCCCGGGUUAGUCGGCCGCAAGAGCGAAGGGAAGAAUAAAUAAAUAAAAGAAACGUGUCGAGAGGGGAGAUAUUGCCAUCGGAAGGAGCUAGUCGGCGUACCUCUGCACCAGGAAUCCCAUCGGUACCCUGAGGACAAACAUAAACCUGUUAGGGGGUGGAUCUUAAGCCCCUGGUUCAUCUCGGCAGAGGAGAGAUAUGAGGAAUAUUAAAGCGGCUUUAUUAUUCAGGUCGAUAAGGUAAAUCGAAGUGUGCUCACCUUCAUGCCGUCUAAUCCUGGCGGACCCUGAAAGGUAGAGGAAACCAAAAUCAAAUUCGAUGGAAAAGAAACGUCGAACGAGCGCGCUCGUUGGCUUGGCUUUAAUGCACAACUAUGGGAGGAGUGGCCUUACACAACAGAUCUCGAAGAUACCGUGGGAGAGAGACAAAGAGUAAGAGAGAAAGAGAGCGGAAAGUGAGACGGUUGCUACGGGAGACAAAAUGCAGAUCGGGUAAUUCACAAUUGAACCAAAGAACGCCGAGGUAUCUCGCAGAAUAACUAAUGCUAGUAGCUUAUCGGAACGCAAUCACCAACCCAAUUGGACGAGGACGAUUGACCCUGCCCCGAUUGGAGGAAUCUGAUUAAGGCGCGUUGGCACGACAUUCCGCUCUGUACAGACCUUUUCAAAGUACAUCCGACCACCUCGACAUGCUAACUUCACCUGUGCCUUCCUCUACGAGACACUCUCACCGUAUUAAUCGGACCUAUCGAUCACCGAUCGAGGUUCCUCCUCUACGCUCGCAUUUUUGCGCCGAAGAGACCUCUAGUCAUUAAUUGGAAAAUCUCACGUCUCAGCUUUCAAAGCGUAUUUUAUAGCUUCCUUCGACGCGGUCUCAUUUUGUCAUGCUUCUCGUCCCAUUAGUUCGGCUAGUCAGAUUCCGUUUGGAAGUAUUUUUUUCCUUUGGAGAGAGAUUUUAAUGGACACCGCUAGCACCAACGGUAAUCGGAAAGUGUACUCGAAUCGUUUAAUUGCCACCUAAGUUAGGGCCGGAUAUUUUUAAUCGUGGUUUUGGAAUGUUUAUCACGGAGCGAUACACUGAGAGAAAUUCACCGAGGGGAAGGUCUAUUUAGAUAUAUAUAUAUUUUUUGGGGGGAUAAUUAUAUGUUCAAUAUUUAAUGCAAUGUUUUUGGUAUAAGUGAGAGAGGUAUGGCAUUGCAAAUUUAAUUCCGUUUUCUUUCAGUGUAUGCCUCCUGGGUUUACCGACAUCCUGUAGACAUCUCUAUUUUGUAUCUAUGGAAAGGAUGUCGAUUCGCCAGUCAAUCGAAUUUCCGAGAUAAUAGCUUCCUGCACUCUAUCCGGCGCACCCUGAUGCCUCAAGACGGAAUAAUUGCGACUAUUGCAAAAUUGACUAUCUACUUGUCGUAGCUUAUAACACGGGUUAUUGAACGUUUAAUCGCUACCUCGAAACUCGUUGUUAACCUUGGUUAGCUGCUCCGUCGAAAUCGGUUCGCAAGAAUCGGCCGGCGGAGCGUUUUUCGGCCCUCGGUAAUUGUAAUCUCGAUUUUAAUCGGAAAAGCAUUGCGCUUUCAUCGGCCAUUAGUUACCGGUAAACAUCGGGGUACUACAUGUCUCGCGUCUUGCAAAAUAACAUCCAUAAUCGUGCGAUCAAGUAAACUAUAUAUAUAUAGUACUGUAUAUAUAUAUAUAUACAGUUUGCAUAAAUUCAUGGGAAUUAUCGUGCGUUAUGUAUCGUGCGAUAUGUUGGGCAAAAAUAUACGAGGCGGCUAUGCCCUGACGAAUUUUCCUUAAAUUCCAGCCGGUUGUCCAUGUCCUCCCGCAAUGCCUGUUAUCACGGCACGUUAUCAUACGUCGCUACGUAAGAGGACUGCCGUUAAAAGGAAAAGGAAUACGAGGGAAAAUUCGUCCAGGUUCUCAGGAUUCAGCCAGGCUUCACGUCAUUGUAAAUCCGAAGAGCCCCUAAAUACGCUGUUAAUAAUUUUUGCGCUUGUACACCUGUGUCCGAUGUUGCCUCCUUCGGGCUCUCUUUAUGGACACGAGGUCAGAGGUUGGCGAUCGCUAAUUGAACCGUGUGACACCGCCCAAGAAAUCGGAGCACUUAUUCUCUACGUGGCGGCGUAUUGGAAAUCCUGCCGGCGAUCCUGCGAGCGGGAAGGAUCAGGCUGUUCGAUAAGAGAUUAGAGAAGACGGGGUGAAAGCGGUUACUUGAAAUCGAACAGCCUGUCUGUUUUACGGCCAAUUGCCGGGGAUCUCGGGGACACCCUCGCCAUUGGGAGGCCUUUUUGCGUCAAUAAUCUCUCGUAUGUAUGUACAGGUCGCGGUCGAAAUUGACAUUUUUGGCGAGGGCGUCCCCGGAAUCCACGGGCAAACCGCGCCGGAGAGUCGUCGGUCGGUCUAAAGGCCCUUCUGUCAUGCGAAAAUAUCUCUCAUCUUUAUCCGGGUCUAUGGACGCUACGACUAACAAUGGGGGGAGGUCGGUAAUUAUCAUCGCCGCGAGUCAUCUCGCGACAGGUGACACGUCGAAUUAACACAUCGACACCGCGAUCUAUGGAUCGUCUCGAGACGACGUCGCUGGGAUACCUCGAAGACAUUGCGAUCGAAUCUCCUUAAUUAAUUAACACGGCUUUCGAGGUGAGCCUCGAGGAGCCCGGUAAAUGGCCUAGUUUAACGUAGGUCCUUGUUUUAAAUGUCGACACAAUCGUUAUUUCAUUCCCCGCGAGGGCCAGAGACUCUUUACUUAAAGGUGGCACACCCUUACUCUACCAAACUGAUUAGGCGUACCGUAGUUAAGAUUUGAAACGUCAAAAGUGUAUAAAAAAUAUCUCUUGCCUUCAAUCGAUUCGAGAGCCAAUUCGUGCCAGGGAAGAUAGGUUAGAUAUUGUACAUAAAAGACGGUACGGCAAUGAAUUCAACGGUAAUAGAGUAAUUGAUAACACGCGGUUUAAUCACAACGGGGGAAGGUUUUUGCGAUCGAUCCGUGACUGCGUAUGAAUAUUUAAAACAUGGACUCGGUGGAAAUGGUGUACAGAUGUUCGGGGGAUUCUUCGUAUUUUUCUUUUUUUUUUCCUUUUUUUCUUUUUACACUGCUUAGCCUCGUGCCAUUUUCCGCGAAUGAAACGGUCCAUUUACGUCGCCUAGGAUUUAACUAAUUAAUUGUCUACGCGAAAGCAGGCCGUGCCAGUGUAGCGUCGUGGAACAACGAGUCGUUAACGAAUCGACGUCGCAGCUCGUCGAGCCGAGGAUUACUGUCGGGUUGCAAUUACCAUUAAUUAAUUAACGACCCUCGCGUGUCCACCUUUGCGCAUGUCGACUUGAAUUUAGGCUCGAAAACGUUUAUCUAACGAAAGGACCCGCCGUGCGAGUCGACCUGGAAGCCCUGAGUCUUUCAGAUCCCGACGACGGUUAACGCUUCGUAAUAAAGCUCAGUCUGGAGUAAUCGUUAUGUACAUCGGCGAUUCGACUCGUGUUCCAGCUGAAAGGACUAACUAAAACUAGACCUUCCGAGAUGCGUCGAGAUUUCCUGCCCAUACCUCGCUAUUUGUAUAAGGCUCCGCACUUACACCGCGCGUAUACGCACUUGGCGCGAAACUCAGCCGAGUUCUUUACUAGCGCGAGGUAGAACGAGCGUUCGGAAGAUUCCCUAAAAAUCCGCAACCGCUCGCCUUGCCUCCCAGCUGAUCGAGAAUCCGGCUUAGAUUUCGGUCCUCGAUUUCGAAAAAUACUUAAAAAUUAUUCGGACAACUUUCGGCCGGUCUCUGGGAACGAGGUCCGGCGAACGCCCUGACGUGGAACACGAAACGUCGUUUAUUAUUUUUUUUUCUAACGGGAAAAUGGGAUGAAUAUUUUUCCCUACGACGGAAUUAUUCAUUCCCAUUCGUGGCAGGAUUACUGACAUCUGCGGGAACGUCGUCGAGGGGGAAUAAUAAAUAUUUCGGAAUUGUUUUCAAGGUCUGCUUCGUGUUCGACGCUCAGGUCGCCCUAGCGAGCGUUUAGACAUACGUAUAAGUUAGCCAUGCAGUGAGCUUAGUUGAUUUUACACAUAGACCUUCAUCGACAUCGCUUAAACAUUGUGUGACAAAAUAUAUAUCCGAUGCUCGAGAAAAGUGUCAAUCUGUCCCGAAACGUGCUCAGCUUAAGACGUAGAUAUAUGCGUGUUCCGGGGGUCCCGGACGGUGUGCACUAGAUAGGUUAUUGUCGUUGUCUUUGUAGUACCUAUCUCGUGUUAGUUGUUAGUCAGAUCACCACGCGCCAACCUGUUUUUUUAAGGCGUCUGUUAAUAAUUUGGUUAAUCCUCGCCGCUCUCACUGUGAAUUGAAAUGAGCCGCCAGUGCCAAUCGAUGCGAAAUUUGGAUGAGAAAAAAAAAAAAAUAUUUAUUGUAUAUUUCGAAUGGAUUCUACUCAAGUUGGGUGACUCGACAAUGUCAAUGUAAGAGCAUGGAGAUACGAGGCAACGAUUGACUCGAAUGUUGGCGUAUCGAUCGUCGAAUUAAUUUCCCGACUUCUACUCGUGUCUUCCCUCAAGAGGUGCUCGACAUCUCGAUCUCGGGGACCGGGAAUUAAUGCUAAGCCACGAUCGUAAUCGAGAAGGGUGGUCGUGUCUUUAACGAGAAA